GCAAGUCUUGUGCGACAAGAUCAUCCCAUGUCCAAUUCCAGUAGUCCGCACUAUCAGGAUCAAGAGUGACAUGGCGACGGCUAUAUCUGGUUCCCCUGAUAUUGGAAAUCCAAACAUCAAAGCCAUUAUCUGCCAAGAUCAUCGCCGGUGAUUGUGCUGGUGAAUUCUGCAGCCAUGUUACUCCAUCCACAAGAACGCCGUGCUGCAACAGUACUGGCUGCCUGUUCGUCUUCGGCCCACCAUCUCCUCCUACACGGC
rnacentral:misc_RNA from 1 species